rnacentral:lncRNA from 1 species
AUUUCCUGGGAUAAAUCUAAUAUAAAGUAUUGGUAUUGAAUUAAUAUUUAAGAAAUAUUUGAACCAUACCAUUUACUUUACAAGAAUGAAGACUAUAUAUUUUCAGUGUAAUGAGUUUUAGUUAAUUGUACUUUGUUGUUUAAAAGUUUCUUUGUGGUAAUAAGAUAUAUAGCAAAAAGAAACUCUUCAAUGAAAAGUUAGAAUAUUCCUUCUUUUUGCAGUCUUAAGGUAAAUAUAAUGGGGACUCACAAACUGUUUAGUAUUUUAGAUAUAAUAUCAUAUAUAGAUAAAUAGGAUUAAUAUAAUUAAAUGAAGAAUCUGAUUAGCUAGCAUUCUAAAUUUAGAAUGUAAAAUUAAAGUAUAAAAUAAAAAUGGCAUCAUGAAAGUCAUGAAAGGGAAGAAUACAUUACAGAUAAAGGACAGCAAAUAAUAUUAACCUGAUUGAAAUAGCUUAGUUAUUAUUUUGCUGUUAAUAUUUAUUUGUGCAGUUGAAAAUAAGGUAGCAUACAAUUAAAUGUAUCUAAUUUGCAACCACUUGUAAAUUUAGCAUUUUUUUGCAUGUUCCCAACAAUGUCAAUGUUGUUGUGGAGAAAACAUUCUUGUAUAAGAGAAGGAUGAAGUUAAAACAAGUUUUCAAUGGAUAUAUUUAAAUGUUUGAUGAAUAAUCAUUAUAAUUUCAUUUAAAUUAAUAAAAUAUUUGAAGCAUUUGUGUUCUGUUGUAACUUGUGAACUGAUAUACUUGAUUUGUAGUUCUACAAAUUAAAAAUUGAAAGACGUUCUCGUUAUUAUUCUUAGGCAGCAACCAUUUGAUUUUCUGAGGGGGAGGGGGGGCUAUGGUUUUUUUUUCUGGACAAAUUCAAAUGGUUGCUGCCUUAUGAAUUCUAAUAAUAUCUGGCUAUGUAUCAAUGAACUUAUGUACAAAAUGGAUUGCUAUCAGUUGAUAUCAGUUUCAUGACUAAGAUAUGAGGCCCUGCACCUUUGGUCAUGGUCAUGGUCCAGUGACUUUGUAUGAAGUAGCAAUUUUUAUGGCCCAGCAACAAAGUUGUCGGGCCAUAUAUUUUUAUCCUUGUCCGUCAUUCCAUCAUUUUGCAACAUACCUUUCAUACAAACUUUUUGGGGAAAGAUGGCUUGAAGCCGUCAAUCCCCUAUGUGGUUGACCAGAGUGACAUCCCCUCACAUCAUUCAUUUUGUUUUUAUAGUGUGGAAAACCCCACAACAAAUCUUACUGAGAUUGGUGAGAUGGAGACAUACAAAUGAAUAGAUUGACUUUAAACGCUUUUUACACAUUUCCCUUCUGUUUCUCGCGAAAUUAUCGUAUCUUGAGCUCUCCUUUACACUAUUUACGUUUCUUUUACAAUCCGGAAAAAAUCAGUAUGACGAGAUAUUCUAAAUAUAUCCAACCUACAUUAUAUUUUAUAGUGACGUCAUUGUUGGAAUGCCACACUACGCAUAAGCAAGGAUAUCCUUCACUGGUUAUUUAAAUCAUUCUCAAAGAUCGUGCACUAAUUAAAAAUUGGUAUUUGUUAAAUUUAAACAUAAUAAUGUUUGUUUUAGAUGAUUCAAACAUCAACAUGCAAUACUUUAAUUUGUAGGUCAACAACUUUCAAAGUAAACAAAGUACGUUGGGAUACAUGAGAUUGGGGGACUGAAACGAUUUUUUUUCUGUCAAAUUCUGUUUUGAGAAUCUUCCUCCAAUUCAGGAG